ACACUAUCAUUAACUGAAUCCAUAGGUUAAUGAGGCGAACCGGGGGAACUGAAACAUCUAAGUACCCCGAGGAAAAGAAAUCAACCGAGAUUCCCCCAGUAGCGGCGAGCGAACGGGGAGGAGCCCAGAGCCUGAAUCAGUGUGUGUGUUAGUGGAAGCGUCUGGAAAGGCGCGCGAUACAGGGUGACAGCCCCGUACACAAAAAUGCACAUGCUGUGAGCUCGAUGAGUAGGGCGGGACACGUGGUAUCCUGUCUGAAUAUGGGGGGACCAUCCUCCAAGGCUAAAUACUCCUGACUGACCGAUAGUGAACCAGUACCGUGAGGGAAAGGCGAAAAGAACCCCGGCGAGGGGAGUGAAAAAGAACCUGAAACCGUGUACGUACAAGCAGUGGGAGCACAGAGCAAUCUGUGUGACUGCGUACCUUUUGUAUAAUGGGUCAGCGACUUAUAUUCUGUAGCAAGGUUAACCGAAUAGGGGAGCCGAAGGGAAACCGAGUCUUAACUGGGCGUUAAGUUGCAGGGUAUAGACCCGAAACCCGGUGAUCUAGCCAUGGGCAGGUUGAAGGUUGGGUAACACUAACUGGAGGACCGAACCGACUAAUGUUGAAAAAUUAGCGGAUGACUUGUGGCUGGGGGUGAAAGGCCAAUCAAACCGGGAGAUAGCUGGUUCUCCCCGAAAGCUAUUUAGGUAGCGCCUCGUGAAUUCAUCUCCGGGGGUAGAGCACUGUUUCGGCAAGGGGGUCAUCCCGACUUACCAACCCGAUGCAAACUGCGAAUACCGGAGAAUGUUAUCACGGGAGACACACGGCGGGUGCUAACGUCCGUCGUGAAGAGGGAAACAACCCAGACCGCCAGCUAAGGUCCCAAAGUCAUGGUUAAGUGGGAAACGAUGUGGGAAGGCCCAGACAGCCAGGAUGUUGGCUUAGAAGCAGCCAUCAUUUAAAGAAAGCGUAAUAGCUCACUGGUCGAGUCGGCCUGCGCGGAAGAUGUAACGGGGCUAAACCAUGCACCGAAGCUGCGGCAGCGACACUAUGUGUUGUUGGGUAGGGGAGCGUUCUGUAAGCCUGUGAAGGUGUGCUGUGAGGCAUGCUGGAGGUAUCAGAAGUGCGAAUGCUGACAUAAGUAACGAUAAAGCGGGUGAAAAGCCCGCUCGCCGGAAGACCAAGGGUUCCUGUCCAACGUUAAUCGGGGCAGGGUGAGUCGACCCCUAAGGCGAGGCCGAAAGGCGUAGUCGAUGGGAAACAGGUUAAUAUUCCUGUACUUGGUGUUACUGCGAAGGGGGGACGGAGAAGGCUAUGUUGGCCGGGCGACGGUUGUCCCGGUUUAAGCGUGUAGGCUGGUUUUCCAGGCAAAUCCGGAAAAUCAAGGCUGAGGCGUGAUGACGAGGCACUACGGUGCUGAAGCAACAAAUGCCCUGCUUCCAGGAAAAGCCUCUAAGCAUCAGGUAACAUCAAAUCGUACCCCAAACCGACACAGGUGGUCAGGUAGAGAAUACCAAGGCGCUUGAGAGAACUCGGGUGAAGGAACUAGGCAAAAUGGUGCCGUAACUUCGGGAGAAGGCACGCUGAUAUGUAGGUGAAGCGACUUGCUCGUGGAGCUGAAAUCAGUCGAAGAUACCAGCUGGCUGCAACUGUUUAUUAAAAACACAGCACUGUGCAAACACGAAAGUGGACGUAUACGGUGUGACGCCUGCCCGGUGC
rnacentral:rRNA from 1 species